rnacentral:rRNA from 1 species
GAUAAACGCUGGCGGCGUGCAUAACACAUUCAAGUCGAACGGUGACGAGGGCUUCGGUCCUCUGAUCAGUGGCGGACGGGUGAGUAACGCGUGAGUAACCUGCCUCAGAGUGGGGAAUAACGUCUGGAAACGGACGCUAAUACCGCAUAACACACAGACUUCGCAUGGAGACUGUGUCAAAGAUUUAUUGCUCUGAGAUGGACUCGCGUCCGAUUAGGUAGUUGGUGAGGUAACGGCCCACCAAGCCGACGAUCGGUAGCCGGACUGAGAGGUUGAACGGCCACAUUGGAACUGAGAUACGGUCCAGACUCUACGGGAGGCAGCAGUGGGGAAUAUUGGGCAAUGGGCGAAAGCCUGACCCAGCGACG